ensembl:lincRNA
CCAAUCUGCAGUUAACGGAUAAUUUUAAGUGGAACUUAGGUGACACCAGAUUUCCUUCUUCAGUGUGACAGCUGAUCAUAUUUUGGGGAGUAGAGUUACCACAGAUACCAUAUUUCCAUUGCAGACUGUUUCGGGGUCCCAGACUCCUUGGGUACCAUCCAGGUCAUUCAUGUUUCGAUGAGAUAUACACAGAUGCUGAAGUGCUACCAAGACCGGAAGAGCCAGGACCAGCUUCAUCCUUUGGAAUGCUCUGCAGGGAAGAGCGCGGGUUCAGAACUUCGGCAACUGCAGAAACUUCUAUGCCACAAAGCCGAUUUUUUUAAACAUUGAAGAUUCAUGCAGACAGCCAGGAGCACCUUGACACAGAGCGACAGCCUGCAAGGCUUCGGGGUCGUCUUCAAGGAAAGAGAAACUCAACCACUGUUUAAGUUGCAGGAGAAAAUAUUUCAUAAACAGAGACCGUUUGGGUGCCUAAUUCCGGCAGGAGGGCAAUCAGAAUCAGGAGGGCUGGCUGCACUAAUUGCCUUCAUUAUCAGAGCAGCCAGCUCCUGGCAAAGGAGUGACAUAUUCACCAGGACUAAUGUGACAACACACAGGAGGGCAUGGGUUCCUCUGGCUUCUGGGGAUCCACAGCGCCUCUGCUUACUCCUGGAUCCCAGAUCUGCAGCCCGGAGCCUCUCGCACUUAGUGGCGACAGUUUGCACAUUAACCGGGAUCGAGGACUAUUUAUAUUAGUUUGUACAUUUAAUCAGAUUUUCUUUGUAGUUUUCAGUGAGAAGCAAACUCUAUCCUUGUCCAAGGCAUUUUGGUCAAAUCCAUUGAGACAGAGAGGAAUCAAGAUUGAUGAUUCUCAUCCUGACUCCCAUCACAGAGACACUGGCACUGCUACUUGUCGGCUGCCUCCCCCACCCCCUGUCCCCAGCCAGUGACACCCACUUCGUUUUCUCCCCAGUGAGCGAUUUAAAGUCCAUCUUGAAAACUGUCAAAACACUUCUGGCGCUACAGAUAACAGCUGUGUCGUGUCUGUGCUCACCCCGAACCUCACUCCCAAGUAUACGCAGCUUCCAUAAUUUUUCCUUCCGAAGGCUCUGAAUGUCUAGAGCCCGGGACACAGGGAGCGCAGAGAGCACGUGGCAGGCACCUCUGACGGUUGUGUGAUCAAAGAGGUGAUUUUGUGAGUCAAGCUGGGACGAUGUUCUUUUGCUUAAUCUUGUCCUGAGUGGAGGAUAGGUGUGCCAAAAGAGAGACUCUAGGGCUACAGCCCUGUUUCUAUUUAACAAAGUGCUGCUCUGUAGAGGGUACUGGAAUUAUUUAUAUACCACCAGCCAUUGGCACAUUCUACUGUAUGCUCCUACCUGAGCAGCAGUCAAGGUACAGACUCACUAUGAUGUUAUGCUGUGGGAGUGGAAACACUCGCUACGACUUCCCACAGCCAAACUGCAGAUGCUCAGAAACAAUGAGCCUGCAGAAGCCUAACUGAGGCUUUGUACAUCCAAGGACGUGACCUUGCUCAGGAAUCAUCUGGAGGGCUUGGUGCACAUAAAUUGCUGGAAUUGCAUGUCAAAGAAGUUCCUGGGUGUUGGAGCGGGGAGGUCAUGCUGCCACUCUGAGGAUCCCACUUUGAGAACCCCUGGAUCUUUUGGCUCAAAGCUUUGCCACUCAGAGUGUGGUUCACGGGUCGGCUUCAGCGUAGCUAGAAGUCUGUUAGGAAUGAAUCUCAAGCCCCAUUCCAUACCUCCAAAGCCAGAAGCUUCAUAUUAGAGUUUUUCAGGUAAACUUCUCAGGUGAAUUUUUUAGGUGAACUCUUUGUUUAGGUGUACGUUAAAGAGUGAGAAGUGCUAGCCAAGAACACAAAGUCUGGGACCCACAUUACCUAAGUUCAAGCUCAAUCUCUGCAUUCACGGGUUUUGUAACUUAUGGUGAGUUAGCUAACCUAGCUAUGCUUCAGUUUCCACAUCAUUACAAUGGGAAUGACCAACAUGGUCCUGCCUUUAUAAACCGUUAGAUGUGUUAAUGUAUGUAAAAUACAUGCAGCAGUGCUUGGAAUGUUUCAAGCAACCAUUAAAUGUCAUUGGAAAUAUUUAUAGGAAAUUUUAGAGCCGUAAAACUUCAGAGAAGACCUUGUAUAAGGACUUUGUCUAUAUCCAUUGUAUAUACUUCCUGGACAACUACCAACCCACACAUUGUGAAUUCAACGUUAGUAACACUGCACAACUGUUAGUUCAUGGACCAGAUUUGUCUUAAGUUAGAGUUGUUCUUAUCACAUCUGCAUUCCUGCCCAGCUGGAGGUGGGUGGCAGCCUCCGUCACCACAUAGAGGGAAUGGACUUUCUUUCCUGUUGACCUCUGUCAUCACCACUCCUUAUUGUUUGUGCCACCUGUUUUGCCACUGUAGACAUUUGCAUUAACAAUUGCUACAUUAUAUGAUGCACGAUUCUCUGGAAAUGCUGUAAAUUAGCCAUUUGUGAGUUGCUGUGUCUGCCCCAGAGAUCUCUGUAGCUGAGGGGUUUGGGAGCUGCUUGGUGGUGUACCAGACUGGCACAUCAGGCAUGGGGAAUCUACCCUGCAUGUACGACCUCUAGACACAUCCAGCCUAAGC